GGAGAUGUACCCAAGAGGCUGAAGGGGGCUGACUCGAAAUCAGUUAGGGCGUGCAAGCGCCGCGGGGGUUCGAAUCCUCUCAUCUCCG
rnacentral:tRNA from 4 species